AUUGAACGCUGGCGGCAUGCCUUACACAUGCAAGUCGAACGGCAUCGCGGGAAAGCUUGCUUUCCUGGCGGCGAGUGGCGAACGGGUGAGUAACACAUCGGAACGUACCGGCUAGUGGGGGAUAACCCGUCGAAAGACGGGCUAAUACCGCAUACGCUCUUCGGAGGAAAGCAGGGGACCUUUGGGUCUUGCGCUAGCCGAGCGGCCGAUGUCCGAUUAGCUAGUUGGUGGGGUAAAGGCCUACCAAGGCGACGAUCGGUAGCGGGUCUGAGAGGACGAUCCGCCACACUGGGACUGAGACACGGCCCAGACUCCUACGGGAGGCAGCAGUGGGGAAUCUUGGGCAAUGGGGGCAACCCUGAUCCAGCAAUGCCGCGUGGGUGAAGAAGGCCUUCGGGUUGUAAAGCCCUUUCGGCAGGGAAGAAAUCGGCGGGGCGAAUAACCCUGCUGGAUGACGGUACCUGCAGAAGAAGCACCGGCUAACUACGUG
rnacentral:rRNA from 1 species